rnacentral:rRNA from 1 species
GACGAACGCUGGCGGCGUGCUUAACACAUGCAAGUCGAACGGAAAGGCCCUGCUUGCAGGGUACUCGAGUGGCGAACGGGUGAGUAACACGUGGGUGAUCUGCCCUGCACUUCGGGAUAAGCCUGGGAAACUGGGUCUAAUACCGGAUAGGAGCCAUUUUUAGUGUGAUGGUUGGAAAGUUUUUUCGGUGUAGGAUGAGCUCGCGGCCCAUCAGCUUGUUGGUGGGGUAAUGGCCUACCAAGGCGGCGACGGGUAGCCGGCCUGAGAGGGUGGACGGCCACAUUGGGACUGAGGUAAGGCCCAGACGCCGACGGGAGGCAGCAGUGGGGAAGAUUGCACAAGGGGCGCAAGCCGGAUGCAGCGACGCCGCGUGGGGGAAGACGGCCUUCGGGUUGAAAACUCCUUUCGCUAGGGACGAAGCUUUUUGUGACGGUACCUAGAGAAGAAGCACCGGCUAACUACGUG